rnacentral:rRNA from 1 species
CAGUAGCCGCGGUAAUACAGAGGGUGCAAGCGUUAAUCGGAAUUACUGGGCGUAAAGCGCGCGUAGGUGGUUUGUUAAGUUGGAUGUGAAAUCCCCGGGCUCAACCUGGGAACUGCAUCCAAAACUGGCAAGCUAGAGUAUGGUAGAGGGUGGUGGAAUUUCCUGUGUAGCGGUGAAAUGCGUAGAUAUAGGAAGGAACACCAGUGGCGAAGGCGACCACCUGGACUGAUACUGACACUGAGGUGCGAAAGCGUGGGGAGCAAACAGGAUUAAAUACCCCUGUAGUCCCUGUCUCUUAUAC